ensembl:snRNA U6 U6 spliceosomal RNA
GUGCUCAAUUCAGCAUCACAUACACUAACAUUGGAAUGAUACAGAGAAGAUUAGCAUUGCCCCUGUGCAAGGAUGACAGCCAAAUUUCUGAAGCAUUCCAUCGCCCAAUUUGU